rnacentral:rRNA from 1 species
CACUAGAAGAGAAAGACUUUUAGCAAUACCUGCCCAGUGCGAAAUAUUACUGUAAACGGCCGCCCUAGCGUGAGGGUGCUAAGGUAGCGAAAUUCCUUGCCUUUUGAUUGUAGGCCUGCAUGAAUGGUUUAACGAGGGUUUAACUGUCUCUUGAUUUAAAAUUGAAAUUGUACUGAAGGUGAAGAUACCUUCAUUAAAAAGUCAGACAAAAAGACCCCGUGCAACUUUGAAAAUUAACUUUAUUCAGAAGUGAAAGAUUUUUAGGUGGGGCGCCUAGAAAGUAAAUCUAACCUUUCUGAACAUUUAGUUCUUUCCGGACUUGACCCGAUUAUAUUCGAUCAUAGGAGAAGUUACGCCGGGGAUAACAGGCUAAUCCUUUAGUAGAGCUCGUAUUGGCUAAAGGGAUUGGCACCUCGAUGUUGAAUCAGGGAUGAUAGCUUCAAGGCGUAGAGGCUUUGAGAGUAGGUCUGUUCGACCUUUAAUACCCUACGUGAUCUGAGUUCAGACCCGG